AAAUUGGGGUGGUUUUUAGUUGGAAAUUAAGGGCUAAUUUUCUUAAGGAAAAAUCAGUAAGUGCAGCCUUCCUAUUGAAUUAAAUGAACGAAGCAUUAUGUGAUCACAAUGAAGUGGAUCGGCUGAAUCAAGUGGUAUGGAAUUGAAAACGAUGAAAGGCUGAUUGAAUUAGUCAUCUACUCUUGAAAGGAAAAGAAAAAAAAGAAAAAAAAGAGAAAUAAAAGAAUUCAUGACUUCCGAACGGUUUUACUAGCCUAAGAGAACUAGCUCCACCAUCCAAAUAAAUUCCUCCCGUCCACCGCACAUUACCUCGGCCCCAU
rnacentral:lncRNA from 1 species